CUCCCUGGAUUCCAGGUCGAGGCCUGAUGAGUGAGGCCAGAAGCCGGGAAGCACCGCAGAAGUAGAAGCCGGGGAGCCACAGCCUACGUUCUCGGAAAAAGCAGGCACUGGAAGGGAGGCCAUUGAGCCCGGCACUAGCCGGUGUGGCUCCCUGCUGUGGUCUGGAGGAAGCAGCGGCCUGGGUUGGUGGGAUUGGAAUGAAGGGCUUCUGGUUUGCAGGGAUCAAGGGUCCAGGGUCCCCGAGGUUGGGUCAGGAGCCUCAAGGGGAUAACUGAGGCUUGGGAGGGAGACAGGGCGAGAUAGAGACUGGCCCCUGUCCGGGAAGAAGCGUCCGGGCCCCAGGCAGGGGCAGCCAGCCUGAGGAGGGUGGCUGGUUAGGUGGCACUCACACCUAGAUGGGCUGUGAAGAUCAUAGACCUGUCCCAUAGUAAUGGAGACCCCUGUAGCGCAUUUCACCCUCCACUGCAGCAGCUGGAA
rnacentral:lncRNA from 1 species